GAUGAAGAACGCAGCGAAAUGCGAUACUUGGUGUGAAUUGCAGAAUCCCGUGAACCAUCGAGUCUUUGAACGCAAGUUGCGCCCGAAGCCAUUAGGCCGAGGGCACGCCUGCCUGGGCGUCACACGUCGUUGCCCCCCCAUCUACUCCUUCGGGAUUGCGGGGGGCGGAUGAUGGCCUCUCGUGCGCCUCGUCGCGCGGUUGGCCUAAAUGCCAAGUCCUCGGCGACGCACGCCACGACAAUCGGUGGUUGCGAAACCUCGGUUGCCUGUCGUGUGCGGUCGUCGCGCAUCGAGGGCUCGAAAAAAUUGCCGGGCUUCGGCUCGACUUUCAACGCGACCCCAGGUCAGGCGGGGUUACCCGCUGAAUUUAAGAAUAUCAAUAAGCGGAGGA
rnacentral:misc_RNA from 1 species